rnacentral:rRNA from 1 species
GACGAACGCUGGCGGCGUGCUUAACACAUGCAAGUCGAGCGGUAAGGCCCUUUCGGGGGUACGACGAGCGGCGAACGGGUGAGUAACACGUGGGUGACCUGCCCUCAGCUCUGGGAUAAGCCUGGGAAACCGGGUCUAAUACUGGAUAUGACUCCAUGACGCAUGUUGUGGGGUGGAAAGCCUUGUGCGGCUGAGGAUGGGCCCGCGCCUAUCAGCUUGUUGGUGGGGGUGANGGCCCUACCAAGGCGACGACGGGUAGCCGGCCUGAGAGGGCGACCGGCCACACUGGGACUGAGACACGGCCCAGACUCCUACGGGAGGCAGCAGUGGGGAAUCUUGCGCAAUGGGCGAAAGCCUGACGCAGCGACGCCGCGUGAGGGAU